rnacentral:lncRNA from 1 species
CCCAGUUCAAGAUUCAGACAAAAGAUUAGGUUUGCGCCAAAACAAAAUUACCCACAGUUCGUUGUACGGAAACGCAUUCCCACUAAACUAAAUUACGUUGUCUUUUUCAUUCCCAUGUCAAUUUUCACCGGUCAAAAUGCUUUAUCCGUUGUUUCAUGUUGGAUUAGUUAAUUCUUUUAAUCGGAGGAGUAGCAGUUGACAAACUCAUUAUUUGCUCAUUAUUUCUGCUCGGCAUUUUGUCAAACACGUAAGAUACAUGAUUGAGAACGAGCAUACAUUGUGCUGCCCAGAAUCUGAUUGGGAUGAAAUUUCUUUUUUAAUUUCUCCCCCCAAAUGGGGAAAUUAAUUUUAGGGUUUUUGCUGGUCUUGAUUUUUCUAUUGAUGUUCCCUUUGUUGACCUAUUUACAUAAUUCAUUUCCUUUUCUGGGUUUCAGUUCUGGGCGAUUCUUGAAUUUCAGAGCUCACCCUUCUGUCCGUACAAUUCAUUCUCUCUCUAGAAGGUAAUAAUUUGCUCUUUUUUUUGGGAUAAUUUCAAUUGUUACCUUAUAUAUAUAUAUAUAUAUAUAUAUAUAUAUAUAUAUAUAUAUAUAUAUAUAUAUAUAUAUAUAUAUAUAUAUAUAUAUAUAUAUAUAUAUAUAUAUAUAUAUAUAUAUAUAUAUAUAUAUAUAUAUAUAUUUAUUAAUACCCUCGAAUGAUCUCAAAAGAACACGUAAAUUUCCUUUUGCGGUUUUGUAAGGAACGGGUUGAAUCACACUUAGAGAUUUAUUUUGAAUGUAUAUCGGCCCGUAUUUUCUCCACGAUCGGCCUAAAUCCGCAGUUAUCUAAAAAAAAAAAUCAACCAAUAAUUAACAAAUAUAUCAAAAUUAUUUGUAAAAUUAUAUAAGGUUGAUUUCUCCAUAGAAAUGUCUAUAUAUAUAUAUAUAUAUAUAUAUAUAUAUAUAUAUAUAUAUAUAUAUAUCUAUCUUAAGUAAAUUUAGUUAUUGUUUAUUUAAAAAAAAAAAAAAAAAAAAAGAGGAAAAUAGCAAA